rnacentral:rRNA from 1 species
GACGAACGCUGGCGGCGUGCUUAACACAUGCAAGUCGAACGGUGAAGGGACCGGUUUUUGCUGGUUCUGGUUGAGUGGCGAACGGGUGAGUCACACGUGAGUAACCUGCCCCCUUCUUCUGGAUAACCGCAUGAAAGUGUGGCUAAUACGGGAUAUUCUUCGCCUGCUGCAUGGUGUGUUUGGGAAAGUUAUUGUUUCGGUUUGGGAUGGGCUCGCGGCCUAUCAGCUUGUUGGUGGGGUGAUGGCCUACCAAGGCGGUGACGGGUAGCCGGCCUGAGAGGGUGGACGGUCACACGGGGAAUGAGACACGGACCAGACUACUACGGGAGGCAGCAGUGGGGAAUAUUGCACAAUGGGCGCAAGCAUGAUGCAGCGACGCCGCGGGAGGGAUGGAGGCCUUCGGGUUGUAAACCUCUUUCGCCAGUGAAGCAGGCCUGUAGCUUUUGUGGGUGGGUUGACGGUAGCUGGAUAAGAAGCGCCGGCUAACUACGUG